UGGGGAAUUUUCCGCAAUGGGCGAAAGCCUGACGGAGCAAUGCCGCGUGGAGGUGGAAGGCCCACGGGUCGUCAAUUCUUUUCUCGGAGAAGAAACAAUGACGGUAUCUGAGGAAUAAGCAUCGGCUAACUCUGUG
rnacentral:rRNA from 1 species